CCAAGCCCUGUGUCAGAGCAGGCAUUGACAUCCCGGACUCUGCAGUAAAAGAUCUCUAACUGUUCAAUGACCUCAAGUGCUGAGUAAAGGUCUAAAUCUGAAGCCAUUUGAUGGUAUGUGAUGACAUCUCUAUAUAGUGUAAAAAAAAAUCUCUAAUGGGAGGGAUGUUAACAACCAACUACCUUUAUGUGCAACUGCUGCGAAGAAAGUGAACCGGUAUGUUACUUGGUGGACCGACAGACUGACUGACCAACAGGCAGCAGCAAAGCAAUAUGCCCUCCCUUUUUUGAAGGGUGUAUAAUUAUUAUAUGGUCAACAUCAUCAGGCAAGUCUCCUCCAGUUGUAUCCACCACGUCCUGUUGGGUCCAUCUUCUGUA